UACGAAGGGUGCAAGCGUUACUCGGAAUUACUGGGCGUAAAGCGUGCGUAGGUGGUUUGUUAAGUCUGAUGUGAAAGCCCUGGGCUCAACCUGGGAACGGCAUUGGAAACUGGCUUACUAGAGUGCGGUAGAGGGGUGUGGAAUUCCCGGUGUAGCAGUGAAAUGCGUAGAUAUCGGGAGGAACAUCUGUGGCGAAGGCGACACCCUGGACCAGCACUGACACUGAGGAGCGAAAGCCAGGGGAGCAAACGGG
rnacentral:rRNA from 1 species